rnacentral:rRNA from 1 species
CCCCUAAGGCGAGGCCGAAAGGCGUAGUCGAUGGGAAACAGGUUAAUAUUCCUGUACUUGGUGUUACUGCGAAGGGGGGACGGAGAAGGCUAUGUUGGCCGGGCGACGGUUGUCCCGGUUUAAGCGUGUAGGCUGGUUUUCCAGGCAAAUCCGGAAAAUCAAGGCUGAGGCGUGAUGACGAGGCACUGCGGUGCUGAAGCAACAAAUGCCCUGCUUCCAGGAAAAGCCUCUAAGCAUCAGGUAACAUCAAAUCGUACCCCAAACCGACACAGGUGGUCAGGUAGAGAAUACCAAGGCGCUUGAGAGAACUCGGGUGAAGGAACUAGGCAAAAUGGUGCCGUAACUUCGGGAGAAGGCACGCUGAUAUGUAGGUGAAGUCCCUCGCGGAUGGAGCUGAAAUCAGUCGAAGAUACCAGCUGGCUGCAACUGUUUAUUAAAAACACAGCACUGUGCAAACACGAAAGUGGACGUAUACGGUGUGACGCCUGCCCGGUGCCGGAAGGUUAAUUGAUGGGGUUAGCGCAAGCGAAGCUCUUGAUCGAAGCCCCGGUAAACGGCGGCCGUAACUAUAACGGUCCUAAGGUAGCGAAAUUCCUUGUCGGGUAAGUUCCGACCUGCACGAAUGGCGUAAUGAUGGCCAGGCUGUCUCCACCCGAGACUCAGUGAAAUUGAACUCGCUGUGAAGAUGCAGUGUACCCGCGGCAAGACGGAAAGACCCCGUGAACCUUUACUAUAGCUUGACACUGAACAUUGAGCCUUGAUGUGUAGGAUAGGUGGGAGGCUUUGAAGUGUGGACGCCAGUCUGCAUGGAGCCGACCUUGAAAUACCACCCUUUAAUGUUUGAUGUUCUAACGUUGACCCGUAAUCCGGGUUGCGGACAGUGUCUGGUGGGUAGUUUGACUGGGGCGGUCUCCUCCUAAAGAGUAACGGAGGAGCACGAAGGUUGGCUAAUCCUGGUCGGACAUCAGGAGGUUAGUGCAAUGGCAUAAGCCAGCUUGACUGCGAGCGUGACGGCGCGAGCAGGUGCGAAAGCAGGUCAUAGUGAUCCGGUGGUUCUGAAUGGAAGGGCCAUCGCUCAACGGAUAAAAGGUACUCCGGGGAUAACAGGCUGAUACCGCCCAAGAGUUCAUAUCGACGGCGGUGUUUGGCACCUCGAUGUCGGCUCAUCACAUCCUGGGGCUGAAGUAGGUCCCAAGGGUAUGGCUGUUCGCCAUUUAAAGUGGUACGCGAGCUGGGUUUAGAACGUCGUGAGACAGUUCGGUCCCUAUCUGCCGUGGGCGCUGGAGAACUGAGGGGGGCUGCUCCUAGUACGAGAGGACCGGAGUGGACGCAUCACUGGUGUUCGGGUUGUCAUGCCAAUGGCACUGCCCGGUAGCUAAAUGCGGAAGAGAUAAGUGCUGAAAGCAUCUAAGCACGAAACUUGCCCCGAGAUG